rnacentral:rRNA from 1 species
AGAGUUUGAUCAUGGCUCAGAAUGAACGCUGGCGGCGUUAACACAUGCAAGUCGCACGAGAACGCUUCAGCUUGCUGAAGCUAGUAAAGUGGCGCACGGGUGAGUAACGCGUGGGUAAUCUAUCUCUGAAUUGGGGAUAACAUUGCGAAAGCGAUGCUAAUACCGGAUGAUAUCCAUUAAACCUCGGUUUUUUGGAUCAAAGGUGGCCUCUACAUGUAAGCUACUGUUUGGAGACGAGCCCGCGUACCAUUAGCUUGUUGGUAAGGUAACGGCUUACCAAGGCAACGAUGGUUAGCUGGUCUGAGAGGAUGAUCAGCCACACUGGAACUGACACACGGUCCAGACUCCUACGGGAGGCAGCAGUGAGGAAUUUUGCGCAAUGGGGGAAACCCUGACGCAGCAACGCCGCGUGAGUGAUGAAGGCUUUCGGGUCGUAAAGCUCUGUCAAGUGGGAAGAACCCGCGCCGCACAAAUAGUGCGGGGCGCUGACGGUACCACUGAAGGAAGCACCGGCUAACUCCGUGCCAGCAGCCGCGGUAAUACGGGGGGUGCAAGCGUUAUUCGGAAUCAUUGGGCGUAAAGAGCGCGUAGGCGGUCUUCUAUGUCAGGUGUGAAAGCCCGGGGCUCAACCCCGGAAGUGCACUUGAAACUGGGAGACUUGAGUAUGGGAGAGGGAAGUGGAAUUCCUGGUGUAGCGGUGAAAUGCGUAGAUAUCAGGAGGAACACCGGUGGCGAAGGCGACUUCCUGGACCAAUACUGACGCUGAGGCGCGAAGGCGUGGGGAGCAAACAGGAUUAGAUACCCUAGUAGUCC